GUAGGUGGCAAGCGUUGUCCGGAAUUAUUGGGCGUAAAGCGCGCGCAGGCGGUUCUUUAAGUCUGAUGUGAAAGCCCACGGGCUCAACCGUGGAGGGUCAUUGGAAACUGGAGAGCUUGAGUACAGAAGAGGAAAGCGGAAUUCCACGUGUAGCGGUGAAAUGCGUAGAGAUGUGGAGGAACACCAGUGGCGAAGGCGGCUUUCUGGUCUGUAACUGACGCUGAGGCGCGAAAGCGUGGGGAGCAAACAGGAUUAGAUACCCUGGUAGUCCACGCCGUAAACGAUGAGUGCUAAGUGUUAGGGGGUUUCCGCCCCUUAGUGCUGCAGCUAACGCAUUAAGCACUCCGCCUGGGGAGUACGGCCGCAAGGCUG
rnacentral:rRNA from 1 species